GUCCACGCCGUAAACGAUGCUAACUCGUUUUCGGGCCGCAAGGCUCGGAGACCAAGCGAAAGUGAUAAGUUAGCCACCUGGGGAGUACGUCCGCAAGGAUGAAACUCAAAGGAAUUGACGGGGCCCGCACAAGCGGUGGAUUAUGUGGUUUAAUUCGAUGAUACGCGAGGAACCUUACCAAGACUUAAAUGGGAAUUGACAGGUUUAGAAAUAGAUCCUCCUUCGGGCAAUUUUCAAGGUGCUGCAUGGUUGUCGU
rnacentral:rRNA from 1 species